AAGUCGUAACAAGGUUUCCGUAGGUGAACCUGCGGAAGGAUCAUUAACAAAUCAAAAAUCGCGAUCUGGGGGGAAUGUCCGAGGGCUUUGGGGAUGGUUGGGAGCGGGAGUUGGCCGAGGCCGGCAAUAUCAUUGUUCAUUGCGUGAGCAAAGGUAUGCCAAAUACAUUACAAACUCGCAUUAUGCGAUACAACCUUUAACAAUGGAUCUCUAGGCUCUU
rnacentral:misc_RNA from 1 species